rnacentral:rRNA from 1 species
GAUGAACGCUGGCGGCGUGCCUAAUGCAUGCAAGUCGGACGAAACUUCUUUAUCACCGAGUGCUUGCACUCACCGAUAAAGAGUUGAGUGGCGAACGGGUGAGUAACACGUGGGCAACCUGCCCAAAAGAGGGGGAUAACACUUGGAAACAGGUGCUAAUACCGCAUAACCAUAGUUACCGCAUGGUAACUAUGUAAAAGGUGGCUAUACUACCGCUUUUGGAUGGGCCCGCGGCGCAUUAGCUAGUUGGUAGGGUAAAGGCUUACCAAGGCAAUGAUGCGUAGCCGAAUUGAGAGGUUGAUCGGCCACAUUGGGACUGAGACACGGCCCAAACUCCUACGGGAGGCAGCAGUAGGGAAUCUUCCACAAUGGGCGAAAGCCUGAUGGAGCAACGCCGCGUGGGUGAAGAAGGUCUUCGGAUCGUAAAACCCUGUUGUUAGAGAAGAAAGUGCGUGAGAGUAACUGUUCACGUUUCGACGGUAUCUAACCAGAAAGCCACUGCUAACUACGUG